GCCGUUCGAGACCAGGACGUUGAUAGGCAGGGUGUGUAAGCGUUGCGAGGCGUUGAGCUAACCUGUACUAAUGACUCGAGAGGCUUAACCAU
rnacentral:rRNA from 1 species